rnacentral:sRNA from 1 species
AUUUUUUGUCCCCGUAGCAUGAAUGUCAGCAUCAUCAUUCAAAGAACAAGAAACAUUCUAAGAAAUCUAAAAAACAUCAUAGGAAACGUUCCCGUUCUCGAUCGGUAAGGGAAUUUAUUAUAUGGUGUCAUGAGUGUAUUAAAGUCUUAGCAUUAUUAUGAAUGAAAUUAUUUGUGUUUUUUAGGGGUCAGAUUCAGAUGAUGAUGAUAGCCAUUCAAAGAAAAAAAGACAACGAUCAGAGUCUCGUUCUGCUUCAGAACAUUCUUCUAGUGCAGAGUCUGAGAGAAGUUAUAAAAAGUCAAAAAAGCAUAAGAAGAAAAGUAAGAAGAGGAGACAUAAAUCUGACUCUCCAGAAUCUGAUGCUGAGCGAGAGAAGGAUAAAAAAGAAAAAGAUCGGGAAAGUGAAAAA